UACAGAGGUCUCGAGCGUUGUUCGGAUUCAUUGGGCGUAAAGGGUGCGUAGGUGGCGAGGCAAGUCUGGUGUGAAAUCCCGGGGCUCAACCCCGGAACUGCACUGGAUACUACUUUGCUAGAGUACUGGAGAGGAGAUUGGAAUUUACGGUGUAGCAGUGAAAUGCGUAGAUAUCGUAAGGAAGACCAGUGGCGAAGGCGAAUCUCUGGACAGUUACUGACACUGAGGCACGAAGCCAGGGGAGCGAAACGGG
rnacentral:rRNA from 1 species